GAUGAACGCUGGCGGCGUGCCUAAUACAUGCAAGUCGAACGCUGGAAAUCUAGCUUGCUCGCUUGAAGGAGUGGCGAACGGGUGAGUAAUACAUAAGCAACCUACCCACGAAGACUGGGAUAAUCUCUGGAAACGGGGACUAAUACCGGAUAGGUAAUCGGAAGGCAUCUUCUGAUUAUUAAAGGUUAAAAACACUGGUGGAUGGGCUUAUGGCGCAUUAGUUAGUUGGUGAGGUAACGGCCCACCAAGACGAUGAUGCGUAGCCGGCCUGAGAGGGUGAACGGCCACAUUGGGACUGAGACACGGCCCAGACUCCUACGGGAGGCAGCAGUAGGGAAUUUUCGGCAAUGGGGGAAACCCUGACCGAGCAACGCCGCGUGAGUGAUGACGGCCUUCGGGUUGUAAAGCUCUGCUGUAAGGGAAGAACGGUAGAUAGAGAAUAUCUAAAUGACGGUACCUUACCAGAAAGCCACGGCUAACUACGUG
rnacentral:rRNA from 1 species